UUAUGAUGUUAUGUACAAAAAUUUUUUACUUAGCGACUUGGUGUGGUUUGGCAUCUACAGUGUGUUAUACCUAGUUAUUGUUGCAAACAAUUUCGAGCAUUGAGGGGUUCCACUAAAAAGGAUGCUCGUUAUCACAGUAAAUAGUAGCGCAAUACCUGCAUUACAGACUUCUCACCCCGUCUAGCUGUCGGAGCUUGUACUGGAUCAAGCGAAGUCAACAAGUCAUUGAUCAAUGUAAACCAUAUGUGAACAAACCAGGAGCCGCCCUUCUUAUAUUAAGAUAAGCAUCAAAUGACCCUCACCUACACAAUCUACGGUGUAAGCAAUCAUGCCGAGAGCUGUAAGAACCUCUGACACAAAAUCAUUAUUGCCCGUUUGAUUAGCGAGAUUCUCGGCUGCUGAGAUGGGGAUUGAAGGAACUGGCAAAAGUCUACAUUAUUACUGUUAAGAUGGAAGGUAGGGGACCCGACUUGUUCAACCUACCUUUUUAUUUUAUAACUUAAUCUCGGAAGCUCCCAGGAUCUAAAUGCUGGAUAGAAGGGGACUAGUGCAAUAAUUUUAACCAACUUCUGUUCCAGGAGUGUGGCUUAUCCUAACCUUAGUCAUCUUCCCAUUUAACGCCUCUGCAAAACGACCAACUUCGGACUUCAGAAGAAUGACAGAUCACUGCGUAGGCAACGACGUGGAAUUGUAUUAGGUGUCGAUGCUAACGAUGUGUGGGGAAACACAACUACACUACACUUCUGCAGUCUGCACAGCUUCCUUGCCUUGGGUCUCAUGCCGAGUACAAUUACUUAGUGGUCGCUCUCCUACUUUCCAUGGAAAUUUAAAAUACAGAUGCGUUAAAACAUAGACCCUUUUUCCAUAUUAUUAUCAGGGAAACUGCCUGUUACAUUUUUUACAAAUAUUUACAAAUAAAUUUUCUAUAAACAACGUCAACAAUUUAAUGAGACCAAUUUUGCUAGUUACGCAUAUUUUUAAGAAGCUGCGCGUUAUGACAAUCUACAAAACAAGAAUUGUAAUUAUUGCAUUUACACUAAGUAGGUAUUUUGACUAAAAAAAAAGUCGAAAUGCUUCAAUUACCUACAUACUGAAGGAACUCGAAGUAAAGAUGUAUCACGAGUUAAGGGCGUAUUGUGGUCUCAAAUCAAACACUUUCUCAUAUUUGAUGGUUUAAUUCAAAUUUAAAUGACGUGUUAGAAUAAAUUGACAGUUUUGUGAAGUACACUGGGAUGGGUGGCGACAUCUAGGGAGCGAUUUUAACUGGCGCCGCAUUCUGUCUUACAUAAUGGCAGCGAGUCAUCCUACCAUCUUUAAUAUAUCUUGGUAAUACCCUACAUGGAUAAUGAUUUAGCGAUUUUGGAUACCUUGAAAGUUUGCGAUACAGUUCUCUUUGCUAUUUCUGCUGUAGCCGAGUAUGAUUAUGGUGACGAGCUCAUUGACCAAUGGCGAAAUAAGGUUCUGAUGGUUUCGUUUGCACAAGUUUGUUAGGUGCAAUUACCGGGCGACAAAUAAGUGUAAUUUUGUAUCGUUUG